CCCUUUUUGCGCAUCUAACUCACUCCGAGUUCAGUCAAACACUUUCAAAACACCCUAAACACUAUGCCGAAGCUACUAAUUAAGCUCGGAAGCAAACUAAUUUCAUUUUGGCAUGAUUUUGAUCAAUUUGAUCAAGAUUAGGCCAUAGUCGAAAAUUCAACAUAUUACAAAAUCCGUUAGUGCCAUUGGUUCCAGGAUAGCCGAACCAUUAAAAACGAACUAUUGGAUCGCUAUGAACGGAGUCCGAUACGCGCCGGAAGCCAUAUCUACACCUUGGCCUCUCCGAAAAUUCAGGUUACUAUUCACUUUAAGUGAAAAGUAAGAGUCGUGUAACUUUUCCAUUCAAACUCGUUUUCUCCCGAAACUUGAUGAGUGCUUUUGUAAUUAAAAUACACACAAAAGUAUCGUCAACGGAGAGUUUAGUUAUACUGCCAAAAUCUCAGUCUUUACAUUUAUAUUCUAAAAAAAAUAUAUAUGUCGAUCUGUUUGGCUUCUAGAGCAUCCAUCUAACAUUUUUCUUUACCUCUUUUUUGCUCUUUUCUCCUUUUUCUAUCUCCGACAUCCCUGGCGCAUGUUUUCUCUUCUCCUUUUAUCUAUUUCUUAUAUUUUCGACAUCAUCUUUCACUUUUCUUCUCUUUUCUUUACAAUGAGAUGGACAGAUCUGAUCACUUUAUGAUGAGAGGGAUAAAUAUGAACAU
rnacentral:lncRNA from 1 species